UAUAACAACAAUGUAGGAGAACCCAUGUGACCUGUAUUUACUUCUCACUAGGUCACAGUGAAGAGCUGAAUUCUAUUUAAUACAAGACUCAGGGCAGCAAGAAAACGGACUGCCGCAUCAAAGUGGAGACUGUGGAGUAUACAGUAACACUUCAGCUUCCUGAGCCUGGUACAACAACAGCGUAAGCUAAGACACACAGAUGCUGUCUCUCAAGCACAAAGCACUCACUCCCUGAUAUUCUAAUCAUUUCUCCUGCGAUUGCUCUGCACUCAGCUGCACCUGCGCCCCCGUCAUCUCUUCUGUUUCCUACCUGGGGGAAAGCACUCCUCAUCAAUCACCAAUCCCAAGCCGGGUGAUGUGUUUGUCAUCCUGCUGCCCUUUUACAGUCAAGCAUGGUGGUGGUCGUGUCAUGGUCUGGGGCUGCAGGAGUGCUGCUGGCACUGAAGAGCUACGGUUCACUGAGGGGAAACAAGAAUUCCAGUGACAUUUCAAAGCAGGGCAUGAUCCCCUCCCUUGGCAAGCUGGGAUGCAUGGCAGUUUUCCAACGUAAUAUUGAGCCCAAACACGCCUCCGAGAUGACAAGUGCCUUGAUGAGGACCUGAGCACCUGUGGGACAUCCUCCAGCGAAAGGAAGGUGUAGGAGUGCAAGAUGUCCAAAGCUUUGUGGUGUAAUUAUGGAGGACUGGAGGAGGAUUCCAGUAACAAAUUGUGCAGGGCUGGUGAAUUCCAUCCCCCAAAUGGUGCUCACUACUCACACUAAAUAUUCUCACGUUGGACACACUUUGGACACGUUAACUGUGAGGUGUACUCACUUGUGCUGCCAGCUACACUUAUUUAGAUUAUACAGUCAUGGACAAAAAUAUUAGACCACCCUUUUUUUUUUGUUUUCUUGUUUGUUGUUUCUCGUUCAUUUUAAUUCCUGAUACAACUAAAGGUACAUUUGUUUGGACAAAUAUAACAAUGACAACAAAAGAGUUACACCUUUUGGCAGUACAAUGCUAUAGCUAUUCAUGUAAGAACUUAAGUGAUUUUGGUUAUUAUCAAAAAAACCAUGGAAGUUGCUAGAUAUCAGCCCUUAAAUUAAACUCUUAUGAGCUAUAUUUGUUAUCACCAUUAUAUUUGUGCAAACAAAUGUGCCUUUAGUUGUACCACGCAUUAAAAUGGAUAAAUUAUCUAUCUAUCUAUGUAUUUGCAAAUAUCUAUAUUAGGGCUGUCAUCCGAUGAAUAUAUUUAAUCCUGAUUAACUGCAUUUGUCCAUAGUUAACUCAUAAUUAAUCACAAAUAAUAACUGUUAGGCAUUUUUAUCUAUAAUAAGUAGGAAAGUAAAUCUCUUUGUGGUCAGUGAUUCGAUGCACAUGUAGAUACAACAUAGGUUAAGAUAUGAUUCAGAAAUGAUAUAGUUUAAAAACACCAAUUUGAUACAAAUUGACAGUUGCAUUUGUUGAUGCAGACAUUAAUCUUACAUAAAAUAAUGAAACCAAUUCUAUAAAAUGUGUAUGGGGGGUCCCAAAC